rnacentral:rRNA from 1 species
UACGGAGGGGGCUAGCGUUGCUCGGAAUCACUGGGCGUAAAGGGUGCGUAGGCGGGUCUUUAAGUCAGGGGUGAAAUCCUGGAGCUCAACUCCAGAACUGCCUUUGAUACUGAAGAUCUUGAGUUCGGGAGAGGUGAGUGGAACUGCGAGUGUAGAGGUGAAAUUCGUAGAUAUUCGCAAGAACACCAGUGGCGAAGGCGGCUCACUGGCCCGAUACUGACGCUGAGGCACGAAAGCGUGGGGAGCAAACAGGA